rnacentral:rRNA from 1 species
UACGGAGGGGGCGAGCGUUAUUCGGAAUUAUUGGGCGUAAAGGGCGCGUAGGCGGCUGAACAAGUCAAAGGUGAAAUCCCUCGGCUCAACUGAGGAACUGCCUUUGAAACUGUUCGGCUUGAGGCCGGGAGGGGGUAGCGGAAUUCCCAGUGUAGCGGUGAAAUUCGUAGAUAUUGGGAAGAACACCGGUGGCGAAGGCGGCUCACUGGCUCGUUUCUGACGCUCAGGCGCGACAGCGUGGGGAUCAAACAGG